GACGAACCGUGCAAACGUUGUUCGGAUUCACUGGGCUUAAAGGGCGCGUAGGCGGGUGGUCAAGUCGGGGGUGAAAUCUUUCAGCUUAACUGGAAAAUAGCUUCCGAUACUGGCCGUCUUGAGGGAGGUAGGGGCGGGUGGAACUUCCGGUGGAGCGGUGAAAUGCGUUGAUAUCGGAAGGAACGCCGGUGGCGAAAGCGACCCGCUGGACCUCUUCUGACGCUGAGGCGCGAAAGCCAGGGGAGCAAACGGG
rnacentral:rRNA from 1 species